rnacentral:lncRNA from 1 species
GGGACGGCACCGCCGCCGGGACCCAGAUAAGCAGCGGAGCAGCGCGCAGGGCUGGCAGCUCGCGGUACCACCGGCCGAUCUGCAAUCGCGGUGCACCGAACAAGCGCCUCAGGACGACAACACGCCGCGGGAGGCGGGGAGGUGACUCCCUUGCAGGUGCUUCUGCCGCCAGGACACCCACCACGGCGAUCUGCAGCAUUGCAGGGACAUCCCAGGGACAUCGGGAAUUAAGCUCGUCUGUGACUGUCUACUCGCAUCUCCUCCGCCACUAUUAAUUCCCGAACGGAGCCGGCUGGGAUGGCUGCCCACCCGCGGGGGAGCAAGGCCGGCUCACCCCGGCUGAGGACGAGCUUCUGGCCAAAGGUCGGGCACGGGGCCCGGAGCUGGGCGUCGGAGAGCUGGCACCGGAGCACCAGGCGGGCAGAGAGGAGAGGCUGAGUCCUUCCCGUGCCUGCCCUUGCUCCCGAAGGCGUCUCCAGGCCCGCAGCUCCUCUG